rnacentral:rRNA from 1 species
CACCGCGGUUAUACGGGGGGCCCAAGCUGAUAGACACCGGCGUAAAGCGUGGUUAGGAAUAUUUAAUACAAUUAAAGCCGAAUGCUUUCAAGGCUGUUAUACGCAUCCGAAAGCUAGAAGUACAACUACGAAGGUGGCUUUAUAACUUCUGAACCCACGAAAGCUAAGAAA